GGUCAGGAUGAACGCUGGCGGCGUGCUUAACACAUGCAAGUCGAACGAAGCGGCUUCCUGCUUGCAAGAAAGUUGACUUAGUGGCGGACGGGUGAGUAACGCGUGGGUAACCUGCCUCAUACAGGGGGAUAACAGUUGGAAACGACUGCUAAGACCGCAUAACCCGCUAGUGUCGCAUGACACGGACGGAAAAUAUUUAUAGGUAUGAGAUGGGCCCGCGUCUGAUUAGCUAGUUGGUAAGGUAACGGCUUACCAAGGCGACGAUCAGUAGCCGACUUGAGAGAGUGAUCGGCCACAUUGGGACUGAGACACGGCCCAAACUCCUACGGGAGGCAGCAGUGGGGAAUAUUGGACAAUGGGGGAAACCCUGAUCCAAGCGACGCCGCGUGAGUGAAGAAGUAUUUCGGUAUGUAAAAGCUCUAUCAGCAGGGAAGAUAACUGACAGUACCUGACUAAGAAGCCCCGGCUAACUACGUGCCAGCAGCCGC
rnacentral:rRNA from 1 species